rnacentral:rRNA from 1 species
AAAGGUAAGCUACUAAGAGCGAAUGGUGGAUGCCUUGACUGGUAGAGGCGAUGAAGGACGUACUAGACUGCGAUAAGCUAGGUGGAGCUGUCAAGAAGCUUUGAUGCCUAGAUUUCCGAAUGGGGCAACCCAGUAUAUAGAGAUAUAUACUACCAUAAUGGAGCGAACGAGGGGAAUUGAAACAUCUUAGUACCCUCAGGAAAAGAAAUCAAACGAGAUUGCGUCAGUAGCGGCGAGCGAAAGCGUAAGAGGGCAAACCCAGUGCUUGCACUGGGGGUUGUAGGACUGCAAUGUGCAAGAGGAAAGGUUAGCAGAACACUCUGGAAAGUGUAGCCAUAGAGGGUGAUAGUCCCGUAUGCAAAAACCUAACCUUAGCUAGCAGUAUCCUGAGUAGGGCGGGACACGAGAAAUCCUGUCUGAAGCUGGGUAGACCACUAUCCAACCCUAAAUACUACUACCAGAUCGAUAGCGAACAAGUACCGUGAGGGAAAGGUGAAAAGAACGGCGGUGAGCCGAGUGAAAUAGAACCUGAAACCAUUUGCU